UGCUGAUUCAGGAAAGAAGAGAUUCCAUAAUUCUUUGUGAUUAAUUUCACUUUAAAAAUGAACAAAAGAGAGUAGAACAACAGUGGCUCACUGCUAGAGUUGUCUGGAGAAAAAUGUCAUGCAUGCAGCUUCUGCCAGGUAACUGACCUGCAAGAAUCAACGUACCAAGUUUUCUCUUGAAUAGGCUGCUUGGAAUUCCUGAGUCCUCUCAGAGCAAGCCACCUGCCUGCAGUGCUAAUUCCAGUGGUUCUUCACGCCAUUGACACCUAGAAAGACUUUUUUUGAAUGGAGGAAAACCUGGACUGUGGAAAGCAAUUAAGGGUUGCCUGUACGCCAUGCUCCCAGGAGGCAGUUCUGGCUUUGUGAUGUUCUCCUGGAGAAUGCCCUGCCAGCUGUCAAAAUUAUAAUUUUUUGGAAAAUGAAUGCAAGUCAAGUGCUUCUCCUCAUCUUAAAAGAUGGCACAGAAAGAGAAAUCAAAACAUGAGAGCUUUGAUUUGGAAAAGGAAGAUCAAGCUGUUUUUUGUGUCCCUUCUAAAGCAAUAACUGAAAUGGCCGCACCUCUGUGCGCCUAUUUUUGAGAUGUCACCUCUUCAUAUGGCUUAACUGAACUUUUGCCACUUUGGACAACAAAAUGCAAGGAGGAUAAGAAAGAGAAAGCUGACAUGUUUUUGCUUCAGGGACAUCAUAACAGCAGGAGUUCUGGGAGAAUUCAGUAAAGCUGUCUAAUAAAACUAAGCAGAGGAGUGGGAUUGCGGCAAUAGGAGGUCAGACGCCUCUGAUGAGAAG